rnacentral:lncRNA from 1 species
AAUAAGGAAAUUUCUUUAUGAAAUUAUGAUGUAAAUAAGGAAAUUUGAGCUUGUAAUUUUUUAUGUGGUUGUUCACUUGGGUCAUUAUAUUAUAAUAUAUAUAUAUAUAUAUAUAUAUAUAUAUAUAUAUAUAUAUAUAGAUGUUUCAUUCUAUAUGAUGUAAAUAAGGAAAUUUGAGCUUUGUGUACAAGUAAACCCCAGGGAGGAUUUCUUAAAAGACUACAAUGAUGCUUAUAUUUUUAUAUUGAUACUUGAAUUAUUGUACGUAGUCAUGCAUUAUGCUAUUGUAGGAGAUUUUACAUUGUUAUAUUAUUGUGCUACUUUUCUAUCUUUUAGUUAUCUGUUGUCAUCUGUUCUAAGCUUCUGUCAUGUUUUCAAUGUUGCUUAGCUCUUUUUGUGACAUAUUACUCCAAAAUUGUUCAUCUCCUUCUGAAGCAAAAAUUUGAUUUUACUAAGUUCAUUUGAAUAACAUCUACACAUGCAAUUAGUAAUUAAAGGCGGAACCAUGCUUGUAUGUACUCAAAUUUAAACUUUACCCAUUAAAUUCAAAGCCUAGUAGUUGUGACUCAAGACUCAACUCAAAUAUUAAAGAAAGGAGUUGAGAUUUAUUAUACAUUUGUUGAAUCCUCUAUGCAUAAGCAAAUGUUAAUCACCCAUGAGAGAUGGCAUUUAUUCAUAAUUUCUUUGCUCCAUGGAUUUUUCUUGGUGGAUGAUAGAAGAAUGGAUUCUCCAAGUUCCUAGGAAAGGAAACCUCUAUGUAUCCACAUCCAUGAGGUGAAUGAAAAAGAGAUGAGUGACUUGGAAGUAUUUUGAUGCUAGUUAAAAUCCGCCCAAGUGGCCGUCCUCCUAGAGGUGGAAGGAGAGCAUUUUUGUUCUCUCCAAUUCCCUCAUGUAACCCCAAUGAAAUUUGGCAUACAAAUUUUCUUUUAUAGCCACUCACGUUUGAGUGGCAUGAAUGUAAUUAUCCUCAAUGACCGGGGCAUUAGGUGUUAGUGAGCCUUUUGCUCUUUUGUGAUUUAAGUUGUCAUACAACUUAAGUUAUUAGGCUUGACUAUUUAAAGCCCAAUGAACCUUGGGGCCCGAAACUAACAUGAGAUCUAAAACGAACUUAUCUAUUUGAUUAAUUAACAUAUUAGUUAAUUCUAGCAAAAAACAAUUAAACUAUCUAGUCGUCCUUACUCAACUCCGUUGUUUCUUCAAUAUCAACCUCACAUGGUGUAGAUCCAUUAAGUUCUUAUUACUAAUACUCGCAAGUCCGUCUCGGCAUGAAACAUAUCCUUAAGGAUGCAACCAAUAUCUUCGAUUCCUCCACUUUGUACCUCCAAUAAAUCCACUUGUUUACUUAUGGCAAUAUUCAUCUUUGCAAAAUUUUCAAUCAUCACCUUCUUUGCCUAUAAACAUUGUUCAAUCAUCACCUUUUUUGCCUUAUAAACUUGACGAUAAGGUUUAAAUAAGUGUGAGGCGCUUGCCAUAUAGUAGUUAUGUCGCUCUUUGAAAACUGUUACAACAAACUAAUCAUGAUCAUUUGCCUUCGACAAUUCAACUUUUGCCUUGCAGUCAAUCCUAGUGUCUGGCCUCUUACCUUUUCGAUUGGGUUUGGUAAGCAUCCACCUUCUUUAACAUGAUUUGCAACUAACAAGGGAAGAGCAGAGGUUGCUCUUAAAACCCCAAGAAGUUGGAACUCAAUCUCAAAAGGGAGAAGGAAAGUGCAGAGGUUGCUCCUAAAACCCCAAGAAGUGCAGCGCCACAAACAAGCACGCUCCAAAGCUAGACAAUGGCCGUGACGAUGACAAGGGAAUUUUGAUAGGCUUGGGCAAUUUGGAGGAACCAAACUCGUGUGAGCAGAUGGAGAUGUACUCAUGUACGUCACUGCCAAACGCUAUAGGCUGCCUGUCAAGUGGAAGCAAACUCCCGAGUUAUACGGGUACAGAUGGGUACACUCCCACCGGUCCAUUCCACAUCUACCAACUAGGAAAAUUACUUUACUUAAAAAUAUACCCACAAAG